CAUCUAUUUUCAUCAGCCAUAUGGGCCUGAAGUUUUCUUGGUUGUGUCUCUGCCAUGUUUUGGUAUCAGAAUUAUGCUGGCAUCAUAGAAUGAGUCCUCCCUCCUCAAUUAUUUGGAAUACUUUCAAUAGCAUUACUACCAGCUCUUCUUUAUAUAUUUGGUAGAAUUCAGCUGUGAAUCUGUGUGAUCCUGUGCU